UACGAAGGGGGCUAGCGUUGUUCGGAAUCACUGGGCGUAAAGCGCACGUAGGCGGAUCUUUUAAGUCAGAGGUGAAAUCCCAAGGCUCAACCUUGGAACUGCCUUUGAUACUGGGGAUCUUGAGUCCGGGAGAGGUGAGUGGAACUGCGAGUGUAGAGGUGAAAUUCGUAGAUAUUCGCAAGAACACCAGUGGCGAAGGCGGCUCACUGGCCCGGUACUGACGCUGAGGUGGCGAAAGCGUGGGGAGCGAACAGG
rnacentral:rRNA from 1 species